rnacentral:lncRNA from 1 species
CAAACCAGCAGAAUCGGGGAAGUGAAAUCUUGGCAGGAGCAAAAUCCAGUUUCAACAUCAUCCACCUAUUUUAUUUUCUAUUUUUUAUGUGUUUGUGCUUUCAUGGUGGCAACCUGCCUUCCUCCUUUCCCUGCCCCUGCUGUUCUGUCCGGCGGCAGAAGAAGGAUGCACGGAGUUCGUGGACGUGACCAUCCUGGUGAGCAGCGCAGUGGCCGUGUCGGUGCUCCCGCUCCUCGCCAUUGUCCUCUGCUAUUUGUCUUUUGCACGUCACACGGUGCAGGGCUGUAGCAACGACUGUGAUGUCUCUUGGAUGGGCAAAACCAGGUCCUUCGAAAUGUCUCAGCCAGGCACCAAGGACACCAAUCCCAGCUGAGAUCCAUGUGGGUGUCUCUCACUUGGCCAAGCCAGCCCAAGCCCUCCCCCAGGUUUAGUCGGUUCAGGAGUCUCAGUUUUGG